rnacentral:rRNA from 1 species
GACGAACGCUGGCGGCGUGCUUAACACAUGCAAGUCGAACGGUGAAGCGCCUUCCUUUUUGGUGGGUGUGGAUGAGUGGCGAACGGGUGAGUAACACGUGAGUAACCUGCCCCCUUCUUCUGGAUAACCGCAUGAAAGUGUGGCUAAUACGGGAUAUUCUGGGUCUGUCGCAUGAUGGGUCUGGGAAAGAUAUUGUUUCGGUGGGGGAUGGGAUCGCGGCCUAUCAGGUUGUUGGUGGGGUGAUGGCCUACCAAGGCGGUGACGAGUAGCCGGCCUGAGAGGGUGGACGGUCACAGUGGGAAUGAGACGCGGCGCAGACUCCUGCGGGAGGCAGUGGUGGGGAUUAUUGCACAGUGGGAGCCAGGCUGCUGCAGUGACGCGGCGGGAGGGAUGGCGGCCGUCGGGUUGUGAACCUCUUUCGCGAGUGAAGCAGGCCUGCCUCGUUUGUGGGUGGGUUGACGGUAGCUGGAGAAGAAGCGCCGGCUAACUACGUG